rnacentral:rRNA from 1 species
UACGUAGGGUGCAAGCGUUAAUCAGAAUUACUGGGCGUAAAGCGUGCGCAGGCGGUGAUGUAAGACAGUUGUGAAAUCCCCGGGCUCAACCUGGGAACUGCAUCUGUGACUGCAUCGCUGGAGUGCGGCAGAGGGGGAUGGAAUUCCGCGUGUAGCAGUGAAAUGCGUAGAUAUGCGGAGGAACACCGAUGGCGAAGGCAAUCCCCUGGGCCUGCACUGACGCUCAUGCACGAAAGCGUGGGGAGCAAACAGG